rnacentral:misc_RNA from 1 species
CAAUAAGUGUUCAAUGGCACUUUAAAUCCAUUACCCACCUUGUGUGCAAUGUAAGGAGGAGGGGGUUUGUCAGCACUUUUUGGCCUGGUUUCCCCUCUUUCAUUAUACAUACCAAUCUUCUCUUGUUGUCUACUUUUUGAGUAUAAAAAACUCGGAAUA